GAAGCCCGCCAGACCACCGCUGGUGCAAUCUGGGAAACCAGGCACUGGAGGAACGUCCGGACUGCAUAGGGCAGCGUAGCAGCUAACGGCUGUCCACUGAAAGUCUCAAGCGCAAGCAAGGGAUAUAAGGUGAGGAUCAGAGCAACAGAGACGAGUCGAUGGGCCUAGUUUUUUGGGUGUUCUAUGCGUGCUGGCUGGCGUAAGCCAGCCCCCGGGUAACCGGGUGCGCAUAGCCACCCGAUGGGCGAAGCCACAUCGGGUGAAACGGGCAAUCUCUACGCGCAGCAAUACCAAGUAGGCCAACGUUGACGGGGCCCCCGGAGUUGGCGGGUAGGUAGCACCGAGCCACGGGGUGACCCGUGGCCCAGAUUAAUGGUGGUCACAUGGGGGGAAACCCCCGUGCACAGAAUCCGGCUUAUCGGUGGGCUUCACAC
rnacentral:RNase_P_RNA from 2 species